rnacentral:rRNA from 1 species
GAUAAACGCUGGCGGCGUGCCUAAAACAUGCAAGUCGAACGGUUCUCGUCUUUCGGGGCGGGGAUAGUGGCGGACGGCUGAGUAACACGUGGGUGACCUGCCCUCGAGCGGGGGAUAACUGCCCGAAAGGGUGGCUAAUACCGCAGACAUCACGGAUUCGUUUUCGUGCUUGAACCGAUAGAGGGUUCGAGGAGGGGCCC